rnacentral:lncRNA from 1 species
GUUACUAGAGAAUUGGGAAAGGCUUAAAUAAGUAUCCUGCACAUGGUUAUCAAAUCAUUGUAAAGUCUUGAAAAUCAUCUGGAAUGCUUGUUAAAAAUGCAGAUUUCUGGGCAGCCAGAAACCUUGCACUAGUCAAGAGCAACACUAAGACCCACCUGUCAUUUAUAUUGAGGCUUCCUGCCCGGUGGGUUCAUCAGCAAGCCAGAAUGAAUCACCAUUGCUGUGUGUGGAUCCUUGUGAGGCAGCUGGGAAGUCUUGGAUAGGAGGAAUUAAUCCAUUGCUAUGUAAAAAUGAGAUCUGGACAAAGGAACAGCCAUCUCAGUCAAGUAAGUGAUUAUUUUGACAUGGAAGUAAAUAUUUUUCUUUGACCUUUUGUUGUAUGUGUUCUAUUUAAUCGUUUUCUUAGUAAUGAACCUACCUUGCAUCUCUAGAAGAAAACUUUUUACUUUAUAAUGAUUUUGAAUUAGGUUUCCUAAAUUUGCUAUUUUUAAUGUUAUUUUCUGUUUUAUUUUUUACUCUUUUGUUUCUGUUUAACAGUGAGUUUUUGGUUAGGGUGGCAGUCUUUGUCAGGUGUUGAAGUUAGGGUCAUUAAUGAAAUCUUGUUUCCUGGUCUUUUAAAUUUAGCAGAUCUCAAACAUGUUCCAUGCCAUUAAAUAUGGUUUAGAUAUGGUUUAGGGGCACCUGGGUAGUUCAGUCGGUUAAGUGUCCUACUUCAGCUUAGGUCAUGAUCUCACGAUUUCAUGAGUUCAGGCCCUGCGUUGGGCUCUGUGCUGACAGUUCAGAGCCUGGAGCCUGC